rnacentral:rRNA from 1 species
GACGAACGCUGGCGGCGUGCUUAACACAUGCAAGUCGAACGGAAAGGCCCUGCUUUUGUGGGGUGCUCGAGUGGCGAACGGGUGAGUAACACGUGAGUAACCUGCCCUUGACUUUGGGAUAACUUCAGGAAACUGGGGCUAAUACCGGAUAGGAGCUCCUGCUGCAUGGUGGGGGGUGGAAGGUUUCGGCGGUUGGGGAUGGACUCGCGGGUUAUCAGCUUGUUGGUGGGGGAGUGGCUUACCAAGGCUUUGACGGGUAGCCGGCCUGAGAGGGUGACCGGCCACAUUGGGACUGAGAUACGGCCCAGACUCCUACGGGAGGCAGAAGUGGGGAAUAUUGCACAAUGGGCGGAAGCCUGAUGCAGCAACGCCGCGUGCGGGAUGACGGCCUUCGGGUUGUAAACCGCUUUCGCCUGUGACGAAGCGUGAGUGACGGUAAUGGGUAAAGAAGCACCGGCUAACUACGUG